CGUCAAAUCCGACCCCAAAUUCUCAACCAAGAUGUCCAGUUUGAAGAAUACUCUGCUGGUUGUGGCUCUGAGCUUAUGCUUGCUUCUUCUGGGUUUUUCCUACUCUGCCGAGGCAGCUGCAAGACCAAUUACUGAUGUUGCAGCAAAUCGACGAUGUGAUGUCAGAUAUUUUUGUGCUGAUGAUCAUGAUCCUCAGUGUAGUAAGUCAUGUCUACAAUUAGGUUUUCGGGGAGGCAUUUGUUUGCCCCCUGAUGCUUCAUCAAAUCAUGAGAAGAAGAUUGAUGUUAACCGGUUUGCAGUUGUAACGCUACCUGGUUGUUGUUGUUAUCAUUAAUCUUGUCUUUCCAAUGUCCCAAACUAAUGAUAAUAAUCAUAUAAAAAAAUAAAAAUGAUUGGUCUACCUGGCCUUUUUAUUAUUA